rnacentral:rRNA from 1 species
GCGCAGCAGUCGCGAAUCUUCGGCAAUGGACGCAAGUCUGACCGAGCGACGCCGCGUGCGGGAUGAAGGCCCUUGGGUUGUAAACCGCUGUCAGAGGGGAUGAAAUGCGAGAGGGCUAUCCCUCUCGUUUGACAGAGCCUCAGAGGAAGCACGGGCUAAGUACGUGCCAGCAGCCGCGGUAACACGUACUGUGCGAACGUUAUUCGGAAUCACUGGGCUUAAAGGGUGCGUAGGCGGUUUAGUAAGUAGGGUGUGAAAUGCCAGAGCUCAACUUUUGGCACGGCGCUCUAAACUGCUAAACUUGAGUGAGAUAGGGGUGUACGGAACUUCCGGUGGAGCGGUGAAAUGCGUUGAUAUCGGAAGGAACACCGGUGGCGAAAGCGGUACACUGGGUCUUAACUGACGCUGAGGCACGAAAGCCUGGGUAGCGAACGGGAUUAGAUAUCCCCGUAGU